UACGUAGGGCGCAAGCGUUGUCCGGAAUUAUUGGGCGUAAAGAGCUCGUAGGCGGCCUGUUACGUCUGCUGUGAAAUCCCGGGGCUUAACCCCGGGCGUGCAGUGGAUACGGGCAGGCUGGAGGCAGGCAGGGGAGAACGGAAUUCCCGGUGUAGCGGUGAAAUGCGCAGAUAUCGGGAGGAACACCGGUGGUGAAGGCGGUUCUCUGGGCCUGUACUGACGCUGAGGAGCGAAAGCGUGGGGAGCGAACAGG
rnacentral:rRNA from 1 species